UACGGUAGGGGCUAGCGUUGUCCGGAUUUAUUGGGCGUAAAGAGCGUGUAGGCGGCCAGGUAGGUCUGCUGUGAAAACUCGAGGCUUAACCUCGAGAUGUCAUCGGAAACCAUUUGGCUAGAGUCCGGAAGAGGAGAGUGGAAUUCCUGGUGUAGCGGUGAAAUGACGCAGAUAUCAGGAAGAACACCUAUGGCGAAGGCAGCUCUCUGGGACGGUACUGACGCUGAGACGCGAAAGCGUGGGGAGCGAACAGG
rnacentral:rRNA from 1 species